GGUCAUGGCUGAGUAGCAGAGUAUUUGCCUGGCACUCAGAGGGUUCCAAGUUCAAUUCCUGGUAUCACCA
rnacentral:tRNA from 1 species